UCUCAGAGAAUUUGGAAUCAUUUGAAUAUGAACGUUGAUGCUGUCAUGUGGCUUUUCAGACAAUAUCUUUCAAGACACUUUAUUGUUCAGAAAUGUGUCACAAGUCCAAGAAAGAAACAGAAAACUGAUCCAAUGACAGGUUUGUGUGUUUGAGCUGAAAGCUGCAGAAUAAAGUGACGUGUGGUUUAGGUGUUGGUAACAAGCAGUGAUAUGAGAGGACGCACAGAGAGGGAGGAGCAACACUGUCAAAGAGCAGAGCAGAAAAGACCUCCUGCUGUGCUGCAUUCAAUAUCUACAGCAGACCUCAGAUAGUGUCUGUAAGAUGUUCCCUCUGCGUCACGCUGGAGUCUGGCCUUUGUUUCUCUUCAUCCUGAAAGGUGUCAGCUGUGAUGAACUGACUCCAGACCAGACUGCAGAGUUCAGUGUAGAAGGCAGCACUGUUACUCUGUCCUACAAGUUCUCUAGGACAAUGACUGGUAAUGAUUAUUUCAUCUGGUAUCGACAGAAUCCAGGACAAGCUCCAGAGUUCCUCAUCUCACACUCUGCUUCAGGACAAAUACUAGCUGCUCCAACCUCUGGACUGAAGAUUAAAGUGGAGCAGAACCAAAUCCACAUGAUCAUCUCCUCUGCUGCAGUGACAGACUCUGCUGUGUACUACUGUGCUGUGAAGCCCACAGUGACAGGAAACUACACAACUCUGUACAAAAACCUGUGGAGCAAACACACAACUCCUCAUCCUCCACUAGAGGGAGUCACUCACUGUUAAACCUCAGUGGUUUGUGAUGACGUUUGUUUCACAAUAAAACAAAUUCUAACAA